AGUCAGCUCUUUCGUCCCACCCACGACCUCCCAACGGUUUUCUCGCCGAUUUCUUGCUUUUUUACGGAGUGGAAGAACCUAACCAUAGGGUUUGAAAAACCUAAGAGGCUCGGUUCUUCCGGGCCGAGAUGGGCUGCCGGGAUGGACUCGACCCAAGUUCUUGCUUUUUGAACGUGGACUCAACCGUUUUGAUUGAACCGGUUCCGGCCUUUCGAUCCAUGCGCGAGCCGUCGCUAUUCUCGGAUCCCUCUUGCCGAUCGCUCGGUGCCGUAGAUGUUGGCGACGGCGAAAGCGCGGCCAGGGCAGGAGGGAUACUUCUUUGCGGACGGCUCGCGCGUGGAUCGAAAGGCCGGCACCGGUUCUUAGACUCCGGACAAAAAGCAAGAACUAGUCAACAAAACCGUCGCCGGGCGGGAGAUGGUGGUGAGGUGAAAGAGCAGCCUUUCCUUCAACGACUACCGGCAGAAGAACUCCGGGUGGACGAUGUACGAAUACGAUAUGCGUUCUUCCGGCUUAUUUGACAUUUGUUUUGACGGUGGUCUAUAAGGUGGACUCAACUGUUUUGAUGGUGGUGCCGUCGAAGAUAGCCUGAUGCAAGAUCUUCAGAGAACUCGUCUCUCGAAGCUGGAAGAACACAUCUCGUCUCGUCCAUCGUCCACCCUCUUUCGCCGGCCGGCCGUCGUUAAAGGAAAUUAAGUCAGCUCUUUCGCCCCCACCCACGAUCUCGCCGACUUCUUGAGUGGAAUAACCCAUUCGUAACUCAACCGUUUUGAAAGAAUCGGUGCCGGCCUUUGAUCCAUGCGCGAGCCAGUCACUGUUCUCGGGCUUGCGCUUCGGAAAGAAUCCCUCCAAUCGCUGCCAAGAAGAUUCCACGCGGCCACGAAGGGAGGGGUGUGUCGGCGACCCAGUUACAGAGGUAGUCGUCCACGAGUUCCUCCGCCGUGGGUAGGAACCUGUAGCCUCUUGUCGAUGGGCUACAUCGAUGGUUGUUUCUCGAAGAGGAACUCCAAGUAAUUUGCAACUCCAAGGGACUUUAUCAAAUAUAGCUACAAAAUAUCCCUCCUUUCGAUCCACGCGCGAGCCGUCCGCAAAGAAGUAUCCCUCCUGCCGAUCGCUGCCAAGAAGAUUCCACGAUUCACUCGGUCCUGUAGACGUCAGCGAAUGCGACAGCGUGGACAGGGAAGGGUGUGCCGAUGACCUAGUUGGCGAGGAGAAGGGAGCAGAGAGGCGAGGGGCGAGAAGACAAAGUGCCUUCAUCUUCCUUGAACCCCAUCGCCCCGUUCGGUCUUGCUCGACUCAGAAACAAAGUCGCCGCAAUACUGCCUCUUCACCGCUUCACCGCCAUCAUGCUGCUGCUUCCCUUCACGCUACAUAUCAUGUGUCGGUGCACCACUACAGGGCAGCAUGUGCUGUGCCACCGAUCGGUCGACAAACCGGCUCGGACUACAGAUACUUCAAGUGUGUUUAAAGACAGCAAAUACUUCAAGAUGGAGCAGAGUGAUAUCAGCAGAGAAAUAGGAUGGCUGGAUCCAAGCUGCACUCAUCAACAAGAAAUCAGCAACAGAAUAGGGCGGCAAGGCUGCAAAACAAAACAUUCUAGUUAGUGGAGAAGUCAUCAAAAAACCGUAUGAGACAUAUGCUGACUAUGACUUGCCAUUUUGCUCACCAGGUUCCUUUGACUAUCCUUACUGUUCCAUCGACUACCCUUACUGCUCCAUUGACUACUAAGCUGCAUAAGUCUGUUAGCAAUACUAACUUUGCUUAUUUAGAUCGUGUUACUGAAAAGAAGCUCUUGGGGAAGUACUAAAUGGUGAUCGGGUCGAUGCUCCAUAUGAGUUAAAUUUUCUGGAGGAAAAGCUGUUAAAGUCUCUUUGUGAGAAAAACUUAUCAAAAGAAGAUGUUGCAAAGUUCAGACAUGCUGUAUCAAGGGACUGCUAUUUUGAAAUGUAUUAUGAUGAUAUGUCUCUAUGGUGAUUCUUGGGCAAGACUUAGAGGGACAAUACUGAUUCGGGCAAAGACAAUCACUUGUUCUUUAAACACAUCCACUUGAAUAUUCUUUACAAUGAUGAUAGGGUUAUAUAGAUCAAUGUCCAACAUUAUUGUGGAUAUCUUGGAGGAUAAGGAAUUGGAUGUAGAGUUUUUAUAUUCUGUUACAUGGAAAAAGAUUGACAUAUCUUUUGAAGAAAGGAUAUUGACCAUCUGCUUUCUGCUUGAUUGCCGGAUAGCGUAUUGGACGAUUACGAAGAUGGUGAUAUCUGCGCUGGUGUUGGCUUGUGGUUUGAGGGUCGGGCUAUCCAUUGGCAUUGCAUUUGGCGAAGUGCUUCGCAGUGCCAUAUCUUCAGGACUUGGUGUGGUUUGCCAUGUCAGUUUCUCGUUCUGCUUCCACAUUUAUGAAGUCCGCCUCUUGCUUUGACUACAAUCUUUUUACUCAUCUUCUUGGAUUUGUUAGAAAUUUUAGCUACAUUAGUCUAUCUUUGAAGCAGAUCAUUCAUAAAAUUUAAAAGGUCAAGUGCCCAGUUUUUGUAAUUCAUGUAAGUGCUUUGUUUUAAAUUUGUGUUUUGUCCUGCAAACAACCAGUGGUUUGAUUCUUUCUCUCGAGAGGAAUUUAAAGGCUUUCUUUUUUAA